UUAAUUAAACUAAAUUGUUAAUUGUUAAAAGCUGCUAGAAAUUUUCCUUUCUCUGGCUUAAACGGAUAAUAUUAAUUUACAACUCUACUAUAUUCUCAUUAAAACUUAAAUUAUUAAAAUCUGCUCUUAUUUUGUCAAAACCCCUAUUUUAACCAUUACACAACAUAUACCUAUGAGUGUAUAUAUACACAUAAUCUAUAUAUGUCUAUAUAUACAUGCAUAAUGUAUAUGUAUACUCAUCUAUCUAUAUAUACACCUCUAACUAUACAUAUUCAUAUGUACACAUGCCAUAUAUAUACAUCUAUAUACAUAUACCCAUGUAUACAUAUAAUAUUUAUAUUAUAUAUAGAUACACUGAGACAUUAUUUUUCAAUGCUUUUCUAGCUGCAAGUUAUAAUCUAAACAAUAUAUUUUUUAUUCACUUUCCCCCAAUAUGUGGUUAAAUUCCUUUGCCCAGGGUUACACAUCUAGAAAGUUUCUAGGUCCAGAUUUGACUUCAGAAAGAUCAAUCUUUUUGACUCCAGUCACAGCAUUCUAUUCACUGUGUGAUCUAGCUGCCCACUAAGAACUAGGCACAAUUCUCUCCACUUAGGGGCAUUUGGUGGAUAGGAAACUAUCUUCUAUUUGCACUCAUUGUAGGAUAUCCCUCACCACACUGGCAGAUACCUUUUUGCUAAGCACAAUCUCCUUGUUUUAUGUUUCAUUUGAAGGAAAUACAGAGCAUGACACUGAAUACCCUUAUCUCUGUUGCAUCUUUCCUGGAAUCUUAGGAGUCAUGGAUUUAAUGUGGAAAAGGACCUUGGAAGUCAUGUAGCCCAAUACCUUAAUUUAUAGAUGAGGAAACUUAGGUCUACUUACCCAAGACACAUAGACAGUAAAUGGGAUUUAAACCCAGUCCACUGACUUCAAUCCAGUCUUCCUUCCUUUUGUAUUACUUAAUAUAUGAAUGAGAGACACCAUGUUUGAGUAAAGUCUUUAUAAUAGAAAUGAAACAAGGCAGUGAAUAGAGCACUGGGCCCAGAGUCUGGGAGGCCUGAGAUUAAAUUCAGUCUCAGAUAUUUACUGUGUAACCUUGGGAAAGUUGCUUAACCUCUCUUUUGCUCAGUUUCCUUAUUUGUAAAAUGGGAAUUAUGCCAUCAUCUACCUUCCAGGGUUGUGAACAUCAUAUGAGAUAAUACUUAAAAAUUGUAACGUGCUUAGCCUAGUGUCUGGCUAGCAAAUGCUAUAUAAAUGAUAACUAUGAUUAUUUUGUUCAAGGUUAAAUCGGAAUAAAGAUUUGACCUAUGGUUUAAAGGAAGAUUCUCUCAUAUAUAUCUUGAAAAUCUAUCCAAUUACCUUUAAAAUUCUUACUUGUAGUAUUCUUAUGUAUACAUAUUACACAUAACUAUAUCUUUAUGUCUGUCUAUCUGUGUAUCUAUCUAUCUAUCUAUCUAUCUAUCUAUCUAUCUAUCUAUCUAUCUAUCUAUCUACUUUUCUAGACAUCCUCUUCUUGGUUCCCAUUAAUGUUUGUGUAGAACUUCUGGGAGUCAGAUGGUAGAGUCCAAAUGUUGUAGUUUCACUCUGAUCACAAAUGAGAACAAAACAAAACAAAAUACCAUAUAAGGACUGGUGUAGCUAUUCCAUUUCAUGUUUAUUGUCCUUUUUCCAGUUUUAUCCAUAAAUGUUUUUGGAAUGAUCUGGCCUCACUAGACCUCAUGCCAAAAUCUUUGUGAGACUAUUUUCAUUUCAGCUGCUUUUUGCUGAUAUGUGAAGCAAUGGUGCUUGUAAUCUUACAUCCUUUCCUCCAUAAUGUUUUGCAAAUUAGCUUGUACUCUUUAACAGGUGGUGCUUUUGGCUCUCAUGUCUUUUGCCACUUGAUAGGGAGAUCGAGUGUCGCUUGGCUGAGGCAGUUUGGGGAGACUCUUUUGGCUUUCUCUGUUUUGGUGACUGUUCAUGGUUUAGUUAAACUUUUAAAAAGAAAAUGUAAUAGAAUCUCUUUCUUCUUUAGUCCAUUUCCUAAUUUCUUUUUUCAGUCAAAAGAGUAUAUAAAUGGGUCAGGUAAGAGUGAUGAGUUGCAUAUAGCAUUGUCUUUUCAUCUGCAUCUUUUCAUCUUUGAAUCUAGCAUUCAUAUUGACCUUUGCUCUAACCCACUGAUAAUAUACACAGAUAGCUGAUUCUGAAAUGACAGCUAAAUCCACAACUAGCCAUUUUGUGUCUUAAAGGCAUAGUCAAUUUUAUUUGUUGAUACCACUGAGAACUUGCCAUGAUCAAAGACUUCCAGAGCUUUUAAUGAAGAAAAUGUUUUUUAAGUGUAAGUCUUUCAUCUGCGCAGAAUACUUGACUCACUGUCUAUGAGGAGCAAAAGCACAGUUACAAGCCUGAAGAAUUUACAAGCUAUUGUUCUCUGUCAUUGUAUGUGUGUGUGUGAAACUAUGUUUUCUUACAUAUAGAAGUAAUGGCAGCUAUAAUUUUUAUUAUCUUUCCCUGAGUACACCCUUGAAUGGAACUCACCAAGUGUCAAAGCGUAUGUUGAUGAGUCUGGAGCAUUUUGUCAUUUUUUUGAUAGAAUUUAUGUUCUUUUUUGUCUUUUACAACAGAUGUUGAAGUCUAAGCUACCAUCAUCUUCACUAUUGACUAGGCUGCUUAUACUCUUCAGCACUGAAAUGGACAUAGCUAAAAGUUCUAUGACAUGGUGUUUCUUCUUGCUUUAAGGUUCACAAUAAGAUCAGUCUUUUCCAUUAUUUACUUCUCCAAAGGCAACCUCUGAGUCAUUUUGUCCAUUUAGGUGUAAUUUCUUUUUGUUUCUGUUUUCACAUGUAGAGAAGACUUAAAUGUGAACAUACUUCAGUUCUUCUGCCAAUUUGGUCAUUGGAGGUCCAAAGGUACAACAGUUAGAUUAACAUUUAUAGAUAGACUAAGAACUGUGUGAUUCUCUUUCUUCUCUCUAAUCCUCUGGCAUUGCUAUAGAAGUAACACACACACACACACACACACACACACACACACACACACACACACACAUAUACCAGAGGGCAAUUAAAAAAAAUCCAUUUCAUGGAUUGCUAUAGCCAAAAUAAUUCAUCAUUUGGUGGCCAAUUCUUUGGUCAUUGACCUUUGGGCACUUAGUUAGGCUGAUUCUCAGACUGGAGAUAUAAUCUAUUAUUGCUAGAUCCAAAAUCAAAACUCAUCCAGCUUAAUAGGAUCUGUUAUCACAUGUGCUCUUCUGGCAUAGCUGUUGAGAACUAAAUCACAUGGAUACCAUGAUUAGAUACUGGAAUCAUAUUUUUGGGAGGAAUAAGACUAUAUCUAUGGGAUAGUUUUAAAAUCCAAAUUUUGGUUGGAUAUUUUAGAUAAUAUUUUAGAGAAAAUCAUCAUCAAACAAACCAGCAUCACCAUAAUAGGGAAAAGUAUUGAGCUAAGAUUCUUAAUAUAUUGAUUUAUAUAUAAAUGGGCAUCCAGGUGGAACAGGUUCAAAUCUGACAGAUACUUACUACCUGUUGUGACACUGGAUACAUUGCUUACCCUCAGUUCUCUCAACUGUAAAAUGAACUGGAGAAGGAAAUGGUGAACCACUCUAUUAUCUUUGCCAAGAAAACUCCAGAUGGGUCAUGAAAAGUCAGACACCACUGAAAACAAUUGAACAACAAUUACAACAAAGACACAUAUGAAUAUAUUGGUGUUUUCUUAUACCACCAGCAUGGUAUGGUAUUAUAGAUGUUGUCUCUGGAAUUAAAGGGCAUCUGAUAUCUAUUACCCAUGUAAUCCUGGGCAAACUCCAUCAGAUCUCUGAAUCUCAGCAUAUUUAUUUGUAUUAUGAAGGGAUUGAACCAGAUGGACCCUAAAGUCCCUUGUAACUCAGAAUUUAACUUAAGAGGACUUUGUAAAUAAAUGUCAGUUGUUAUAAUUAGGGCUACCCAAAGAUUAGUUAAGUUGCUCUAUUUUUAAUAAGGGAACUUGUCAUAUUUUCAUUUAAAUGUUUUUAGUCAUUUCUUUUGACAAUUAUUAUCUGAUAUUUCAUGAUUCUGAUUCUCUCUCUCUCCUUCUAUAUCACCCUCCCAAGGCAGUAAAUAGUCUGAUAAUAGGUGGUGUUGUCAUGCAACAUAUUUCUAUAUUCUUCCUGCUGUGAAAGAAGACCCAUAUCACAUAUUCAAUAAAAACACUCAGGAAGGAAAUAAGUUUAAAAAUGGCAUGCUUUGAUUUGCAGUCAGACUCCAAUAGCUCCUUCUUUGUCUGUGUAUAGCAUUUUUCGUCAUGAGUCCAUUGGAACUUUGCUUUGCUGAUAAUAUCUUAGUCCUUUAGUUGAUCAUUAUACAAUAUUUGUUACAGUACACAGUGUUCUUUUGGUUCUGCUCACUUCAUGUUGUAUCAGUUCAUAGGAAUCUUUCCAAAUUUUUUCUGAACUCAUCCUGUUCAUUAUUUCAUAUGGCUCAUUAGUGUUCUAUUAUACCUAUAUGCCACAACUUGUUAGCCAUUCUAUAAUGGAUGUCAUUCCCUAAUUUUCCAAUCCUUUGCCUACAAAAAGAGCUGCUAAAAGUAUUUUUUACAAGUAGGUUCUUUCUCCCAUGUUUGAUCUCUUUGGGAUAUUUUGAGACCCGGUAGUGGUAUUGCUGGGCCAAAAAGUAUGCAUGGUUUUAUGGCCCUUUGGGUGUAGUUCCAUAUUGCUCUCCAGAAUGAUUGUAUCAGUUUACAAUUCUACCAACAGUGCAUCCCAUCCAACAUUUAUCAUUUUCCUUUUUGGUCAUCUUAGUCAAUCCAAUAGGUGUGAGAUGGUAGCUCAGAGUUGUUUAAAUUUGCAUUUCCUUAAUCAAUUGUGAUUUGGUGGGAGCAGCUAGGUGUCUCAAUGGAUUGAGAGAUGGGAAGUACUGGGUUCAAAAUAGGGCUGAGACACUUCCUAACUGUGAGACCCUCAGUAAGUCAGGUAAUCCCCAUUGCCUAGACCUUACCAAUUGUUUGCCUUGGAACUAAUACAUGGUAUUGAUAACAAGACAGGAUGUAAGGGUUUAAAAAUAAUGAUUUGGAAUAUUUUUUUUCAUAGGACUAAAGAUAGUUUUAAUUUCUUCAACUGAUAACUGCCUCUUCAUAUUCUUUGACCAUUUAUUAAUUGGGGAAUGCUUUGUAUUCUUAUAAAUUUGACUCAGCUUUCUAAAUAUUUGUCAGAGACUUUUGCUAAACGUUUUUAGUUAUUUUUUGGGAAAAUGUUCAAUGAAAGAUCACAUGCCAAAAAGAGGAUAACUUAGGGGAAAACAACUUAAGUAUAACAGCAGAAAAAAAUUUUAAUUGGAAUCCCUCUCCAUUUUGCCUUGAACAAUAGAUGUGUUUUGAUUAACCUUCAAUUUUUUUUCCCUGAGAACAAGAAAACUUAUCUUUCCUUAGUGCUUUAUUCUAAAGGGAGGUGAUUAUAAUUUUUCAAUGGUCAGAUAUCAAAUUCAUUUUUAAGAAGCAAAAUGAAUGUUAAACAGUAUUAAUGAAAGCAAAGGGGAAAGAUUGUUGACAAUGGAGUGAAGUAUUAUUUACCUUUCCUGCUAAGAACUUGUUGGGACUUUCAUUGGGAAGGUACAUAAAACACUUACUUUACUUGUAAUUUGAGCUUGGAAAAUUGCACUAAGUUAAGUGUUCUGAGUGCCAUAGGCAUUUCAAAAUCAUAGUUCGGAGAAAGAAAAGAAAGCAGCAUACAAGUACCCCCACUGAGCAAAUGGACAACAUGUCAGAGUUGAGGAUUGCAGGGCUCCAUGUGAAUUAAGCUGACCCCAAAGGGGGUCGAGAGACAAGAAUAGGCCCCUUUAUUGUAUUGUUUUGACACAGAAGCAGUGACAUUCCUCAGGCCCCUUCCACAGAACAACCCGGUGCAAAAUACAUCUGUGUUCCUCUUACUUGCAGAACUGGAUUAUAUCAACCACACUACUUUUAGGCUUAUCUGAUGGCAAAUGAAAAUUGAUAUGAGUCGGGAGGUAAAAUGAAAACAACUUAGUUACCAAAUAACCAUUCCUUACUACGUCCUAGUUUUUAAAUACUUACAGUUUCUACUAAAGCUGUGUGUGUGCAUUCAUAAAUUUAUGUAUAUGCCAGCAUAUUCAGUAAACCUCCUAAAAGACAUGAAUGCUCAUGAAAUAUAUAAAAUUCUCAUGAAAUAUAUAAAAAUCAGCAAGUGUGUAUUUAAGCACCUGCUAUGAGAAAGUCACUCCACUUCUGGGGAGCAUGUAAUGUAAAGGCUCAGCUCUGCAGCUGUAGGCGUGAAGCCUGGUCUGGAUGGAGACCAGCUAUGCAAGCUUUAGAAAAUCACACGAUGAUUUUUUUUGUGUUAAUUUUCUCCCUUGUAAUAUGGGACUAAUAAUAUUUUCAAUGAGAAUAGAAAAUUAUUGGGAAGAAAGUGCUUUGCAAAUCUCGAUAUUACUCUUACUAAAGGGCUAUGUGGAGUUGUGGAGCUAGUGCUGGGUUUGGAUUCCAAGGUGCUGCUUCAAAGUUUGGCUCUGUCCAUGACUAUCUUGGUGACUGUGGGCAAGUUGCCUUACUCCCAUCAAUUGUUAAAUGAAGCUCUGGAUAAGCUGACAUUGAGAGUUUUGUUCAGUACUAUUUAUGAUGGUUGUGGUUGAGAUAUUUCAGUCAUGUCUGACUUUUCAUGACCCCAGUUUGGGUUUUUCUUGGUAGAGAUACUUGAUGGGUUUGGCAUUUUUUUCUCAGCUCAUUUUAUAGAUGAGAUACUGAGGCAAAGAGAAGUUAAGUGACUUACCCAGGGUCAUACAGCUACCAAGUAUCUGAGGCUAGAUUUGAAGUUAUGAAAAUAACACUUCCUGAUUUCAAGGCCAUUGCUCUUUGCACUGUGUUACCUACCUGAACUUACAAUGAAUUUAAUGAUUUUAUAGUGCUUAGCAGCUAGAGGGCUGGGCCUAGAGUCAGGAAGACCUAAGUUCAAAUCUAGCCUCAGACACUCACUGACUUUGUGAACCUGGGCAAGUCACUUAAGCUCUGUUUGCCUUAAUCUACCUGAAAAGGAAAUGGCAAACCACUUCAGGAGCUUUGCCAAGAAAACUCCAUGGACUGUAUGAUCUAUGGAGUCAUGAAGGGUCAGAAACAACUGAACAAAAUGCUUAGUACUGUGCCUGGCAUAUAAUAAAUGCUUAAUAAAUGAUUAUUGUUUGACUAAGGAUAGGAACUGGAAUGAUGAUGAUGAUGAUAGCGCAUAAUGAUAAUAUUAUUUCAUUUGAUUCUCACAAGAACCCUGGCUUUAUUAAUACCCCAUUUCAGAGGCUUCUGGGUAAUCAUGGCUGCAAUCUAGAUGCCACACGCUUCCUCUUCCCAGCACUGAACGAAAUAGACUACAUCAAAGGAGCAUAAAAAUCACCUUUGGAGGAACAGAAGGAGACCCCAGUACUCCCCAGUACCCCACAGAGGUGAAGAGUCAUCAAAGUCCAGUGGCAAGACAAAAGUCAAGAUGACUGGCAAUGGCUCGGAAUGCAGUGGAUAGCCUUGAAUUCUUCAGUGUCUGACCAACCUCUAAGUGCUCCACCACCUUCAUGGCUAUUAGAGCUAAUUGUUUUUAGCCUCCUAUUCUGCCAGGGGAAGUCUUCACAUAGUUGGUAUGGGCAUCCCCUAAUUCACCAAUGAAUUUGUGGCUCAUUAGUUACACUCAACCUGGAUUAGCCAAGAUGGUUUACUAGGCUGUGCCUGCUGCUCAUGCUAUAGCUGGCAGAUAUGUAGUUUCCCAAAGAACUUUUAUUUGAAUUCUUUUCAGCAUGAUAAAACUCAUUAGAAUUUAUAUCUCAUUGGCAUAGCCUUUAAGAAUCCUAGAUCACCUCCAUGCCACCAUGAGGUACCAGAGUAGAGGAUUCUCAAAAUAAUCGUAGCUCCAUCCCCUCUUUUUCUUGCAUUAGUUCCCUUGUUUAUAUUCACUUUCAAGGUGAUUGAAUGUGCUAUCUUUACCCAGAACCAUUAUUUUUCAUCCAUCCAUCUUCCUCAUCAAUUCUAGUCCCAUUUCUGUCCUCAGAGCUCCUCUGUUUUCUGUUGUGUCUAUUGACUUCAUUUGAGCAAAAUCAAAUGACUGCCUCUCUUUCUCUUUCUCUAUAUAUGUACAUAUAUAAAUAUACAUGUGUGCAUAUAUUUAUAUGUUGGCACAGACUUCAACUCUCUUGGAUAUUGGCAAUAUACAAAUCUGAUCAUUUAAGAAAAAAAGUCUACCAUUAUAUAUUUUGAAGCCUCAUCCUCUAAAAUGUUGCCAACUAAAAUCAGGAGACUUUGUUCCGGACUCUGUUCUUUUCCACAUUUUGCUUCAAUUAUUCCACUGUUGCUCACUGUCAUUACUAUUUCCUGCAUUAGAAAUUCAUGAGUCUUGAUUUUCCUGGCUCUGUUUGGCAGUGAGAGAGGGUCAGUGGCUCUCUGUUUCAUACAUAUUGUAUUACCAGCAGGGCUACAGAGAAGCCAUGCGUUGAUAGCAGUUGGUCCAGUGGAAGAGCAUGGUGGUUAGAAUAGGCUGGAACCAUGCUAUUCUUUGAAGUUCAAGAGUGGUUCAGCUUUGAUGACCAAUGGAUGACAAUUAUGAAUGCUGAGCAGCCUUACAUGAUGCCAGCCUGAAGCUAUGCUUUGAAAAGGAAUUUAUAGAAUGUUCUCAUGGAAUUGGCAUUACCCAAGCCAAGAAAGAAUGCAAACUAGAGUAUAAUGACUUAAUUGAAUGUUUUCCAGAGGGAGAAAAUACUAAGAUACUUGGAAAUAGUUAUGAAGCAGACAGAGAAGUUAAUGAUGGAAGGAAGGCUACUCUUCCAGCUCAUCACUCAGGAAAAGAAGAGGCUAGAUCUUGAGCAGCCGGUAAUGACACUGAGCAAUUUCAUUCUUUUUGUUGGGAUGAAAGCAGAGUCCAUUUGGCACUAAGAAUGAGUUUUUCUUAGAACAAAAAUUUCUUUCCAAAAGGUUAAAAAAACAGAGCACACAUUUAUCCUUUUAUCUUGCCCUGGUUCUUUCAGUCAUUAGGACAUCCAAAGUGGACCAUUCUGUGUCAUAGAUUGGCCUCUAAUAAAUGUUUUAUAAUUCUGUAGGUAUCUGAAAAUGCUCAUUUAAGGAAGUAAACCUUUGGAGUUGUAGCGCUCUCUAUUACAAAUAUUGUGGGAUAUUUUGAUCCCUCACUUCUGCCUAUUGGAAGCCCAGUCCUUUCAAAGCUCAACUCAAAUAUCAGUUUCUUAAUUGAAGUCUUUCCUGAUGGCCGCUCCCUAGCUUUUAGUGCCCUCAUCAUCAAAUUGUCUUGUAUAUAUUUUGCACAAACUUAUAUGUAUACAACACAUUUUGGCUUUGUAUUUUCAUUGUUUGUCACAGUUCCUGACAGUAACUGAUUAAUAAAUAUUUGUUGAUUUUUGACAGUAAUAUUUCAUAGGGCAGGAAUUCACAUGCUGUUAUCCAACUUUCUCUCUGAUGCUCCACAGUUCUUACCUGGGAGUCCCUUGUAAGGACACAGUGUGGUAUAGUUACUCAUCAUGCUGUCAAGAAUAAAGGUUUUGGAGUCAGGGGAGUGAGGCUCCGCAUGCUACUUAAUACCUAAGGAAACCUUGGCACUUUGGACAAAUCAUUUAGAUUUUGUGAGCCUCCGUUUCCUCAUUUUAAAAAUAAAGACAUUUGGAUGGGGUGAUCUUCAAGGUCUCAGUCUUAUGGUUGAAGCAGCUAGUCAGCACAGUAGAGAAUCUGAUGGACCUAGAGUUAGAGACCCAAAUCCAAAUGCAGCCUCAGGCACUUACUGGCUGUGUGACCUUACAGAAGUCACAACCUUUUGGUCUCAGUUUCCUCAUCUGUAAAAUAUAGAUAAUAGUUACAUUUCUCUCAGGGUUGUUAUGAGGUUAAAAUGGGAAUAUAAUGUAAAUUAUUUUGUACUCCUUAAGUAUAUUAAAUAUAUACACUUACAAUAUAUUAAUAGUAUAUUGUAGUUAUUAUUGGCAUACUUUCUUUUCCCAGGGUGGCCACUUUCUUUGUCAUAAACUAAGAAUGUUAGUGUCAGAAGGAAUUCUAGGGAUCCUCUAGGGAAGCGGAGGCCCAAGAAUAUUAAGUGAACCAGAGCGAGGGACUAGAACUCCUUUUCUUCUAUUAUCAGCAUUUCUCUUUCUGCUAGACCAGAUUGAAUUAAUUUCAUUUGUGCCUCUGUGUCAGCUCUUUUAGAGUAGAAAUUAUUCAAUUGCUUGUAUUUGUAUCCUUGGCACCUAAUAGGGGAACCAUAUAAUAGGUACUUUAAUAAAUGCUUAUUGAU